rnacentral:rRNA from 1 species
UACGUAGGGUGCAAGCGUUGUCCGGAAUUAUUGGGCGUAAAGAGCUCGUAGGCGGUUUGUUGCGUCGGCUGUGAAAUCCCGAGGCUCAACCUCGGGUCUGCAGUCGAUACGAGCAAACUAGAGUCGUUGCAGGGGAGACUGGAAUUCCUGGUGUAGCGGUGAAAUGCGCAGAUAUCAGGAGGAACACCGGUGGCGAAGGCGGGUCUCUGGGCAGUAACUGACGCUGGAGGAGCGAAAGCGUGGGGAGCGAACAGG